UACGUAGGGUGCGAGCGUUGUCCGGAAUUAUUGGGCGUAAAGAGCUUGUAGGCGGUUUGUCGCGUCUGCCGUGAAAAUCCGGGGCUCAACCCCGGACUUGCGGUGGGUACGGGCAGACUAGAGUGUGGUAGGGGAGAUUGGAAUUCCUGGUGUAGCGGUGAAAUGCGCAGAUAUCAGGAGGAACACCGAUGGCGAAGGCAGGUCUCUGGGCAUUAACUGACGCUGAGGAGCGAAAGCAUGGGGAGCGAACAGG
rnacentral:rRNA from 1 species